rnacentral:rRNA from 1 species
CCUACGGGUUGCACCAGUGGGGAAUAUUGCACAAUGGGCGCAAGCCUGAUGCAGCCAUGCCGCGUGUAUGAAGAAGGCCUUCGGGUUGUAAAGUACUUUCAGCGGGGAGGAAGGCGAUAAGGUUAAUAACCUUGUUGAUUGACGUUACCCGCAGAAGAAGCACCGGCUAACUCCGUGCCAGCAGCCGCGGUAAUGCGGAGGGUGCAAGCGUUAAUCGGAAUUACUGGGCGUAAAGCGCACGCAGGCGGUCUGUCAAGUCGGAUGUGAAAUCCCCGGGCUCAACCUGGAAACAGCAUUCGAAACUGGCAGGCUGGAGUCUUGUAGAGGGGGGUAGAAUUCCAGGUGUAGCGGUGAAAUGCGUAGAGAUGUGGAGGAAUACCGGUGGCGAAGGCGGCCCCCUGGACAAAGACUGACGCUCAGGUGCGAAAGCGUGGGGAGCAAACAGGAUUAGAUACCCCAGUAGUC